rnacentral:rRNA from 1 species
UACGUAGGGGGCGAGCGUUGUCCGGAUUUAUUGGGCGUAAAGAGCGUGUAGGCGGCUUUACAGGUCCGUUGUGAAAACUCGAGGCUCAACCUCGAGACGCCGGUGGAAACCGUAAAGCUAGAGUCCGGAAGAGGAGAGUGGAAUUCCUGGUGUAGCGGUGAAAUGCGCAGAUAUCAGGAGGAACACCGGUGGCGAAGGCGGGUCUCUGGGCCGAUACUGACGCUGAGGAGCGAAAGCGUGGGGAGCGAACAGG